UUUUGGUUUAGUAAUUAUGAAAACCAUAACCAUAACCAUAACUAUAAUCAAAUCAAUCAUUUAGUUAUUAACCAUAACCUUUUUUUAUCCAAAAAGCUUAAACAUUCCAUUUUGGUGAUUUACUAUGGAAUAGAAUCUCCAUUUUCAUCAUUCCAGACGAGAAGUUUUCUUGGUAUUACUACACAUAACGUCUUGGUAAACACCAAAAACUCAAUACCACCGAGCCCAGGUCCAUUGAUACAAUCUUUAUCUCCACUGUCUGGCUCAAGCUCAUUCUAAUUCUUAAGAGCAACAGAAGAUCUCUCACUUCACUUUGCCAGCCAUGUAUGGCAUGGCUGUAGCCUGCAUGGGUUAAAGCCAAUGAACGUGCAGUCAAAUGGGAUUUUGCAGACAUUUGUGUUUGAACAUCAAGCCAUGGGAUUGGCCGAAGUGAAGUUGUGAUUUCAAUUUCCAGAUUGAAGGGCACAGGAUCUGUGAUUUGAGCUGUUCACCUCCUGCUUUAUGGUGCUUUCGUCCAAGUUGCAGUGUCAAUCCUCGAGUAAGUAAAGGGUGGAAACUCUUAUUCGAUCAAUCCACUCUUGCUGCUACUGCUGCAGUGAUUCAGAUAGAUGUUUGACAAACUCUUGUAUUAAACUCCCGUGUGGGAUCUCCAGGUUCUUGACUCCCUUUCCAUGGAUCACAAAUCUAAUUAAUUAAAAAACAAAUAACUUGUAAAACGACGUUUUGAUGUUUGAUAGCAGGUCAAUUCGAUGCUCAUCCAGAUUCAAUGGAACAAG
rnacentral:lncRNA from 1 species